rnacentral:rRNA from 1 species
AUGAGAGCCGCACUGCUCACGGCGGUGCAUGACUAUCUCGGUUAUGGAUAUGUCGCGGGGCAGGUUGUCCAUGGAUUUUCUGGAUGCGUCAGGUGCAUGGAUGACACAACGUAUCGCCAGCUAGAUAGAGAUCCCGGGUCUUCUAAAACCGUGUUCAUGGGACAUCGAAGGUGGCUUCCCGACAAUGACCCAUGGAGAAAACGCAAGGAUCUGUUCGAUGGUGAAACCAAACCCCGAAGACGCCCGCGUAUGAGGAGCGGCGAGGAAAUAGACGAGCUGUUCAAAAAUUGGAAAGAGUGCCCGGAGCCGAGAAAGAAGCGAAAGGCGCCAGAGCCGCUGCUGAAGGUAUGGAAAACGAGGUCUGUUUUUUGGGACUUGCCGUACUAG